rnacentral:sRNA from 1 species
GGAAUAGGUUCUGUUGUUGUAUAGCACAGUAGGGUGACUGUAGUAAAUAAAAAUUGUAUUUUGUCAAACAGCUAGAAGAGAGGAUGUUGAAUGUUACCAACACUCAAAGGUUUGAGGUGAUGGAUACAAUAAUUACCCUAUUUUGAUCAUUACACAUUGUAUACACAAAUUGAAAUACCACACUGUACCCCAUAAAUAUGUACAACUAUGUGCUAAUUAAAAAUGUUUUGCUUUUAAAAUAAUUUAGUUUUCAUUAAAAUGUAAUUUGUGUUGACAUAUAACAGGUGCUGGUCUGUUUUGCAUUAUGAAAAAGUUAUAAUGCCACACAAAUUUGAAUCACAUCUGAAGAUGCCAAUUUGUUUUAACAGACAACCCUUAGGGUUUUGUCUAGGGGACAUAUAAAACUGAGCUAUUUUGACAUGAUAGCAUUUUGUUUUUACUUCUCGUCAUGACAGUUUGUUUUUAAGCACUCUUUUUUCAAUUCUGUUUAUGCUUUUUUCCUUCGUCAGGUUUGUUUAAGCAUCUUAAACACGUGGCAUGGAAGACCAGAAGAGAAGUGGAAUCCUCAGACCUCAAGCUUUUUGCAAGUGUUGGUGUCUGUCCAGUCCCUUAUAUUAGUAGCUGAGCCUUAUUUUAAUGAACCGGGAUAUGAACGGUCUAGAGGCACUCCCAGUGGCACACAGAGUUCUCGAGAAUAUGAUGGAAACAUUCGACAAGCAACAGUUAAGUGGGCAAUGCUAGAACAAAUCAGAAACCCUUCACCAUGUUUUAAAGAGGUAAUACACAAACAUUUUUACUUGAAAAGAGUUGAGAUAAUGGCCCAAUGUGAGGAGUGGAUUGCGGAUAUCCAGCAGUACAGCAGUGAUAAGCGGGUAGGCAGGACUAUGUCUCACCAUGCAGCAGCUCUCAA